UGAAAGAAUUGCUUUCCAGAUGCUCCUCACAGAAUUUUUCCCUCCUCUUUUAUGAAAUGGAACCUUCCUAGGGCCUUUCAAAAUCUUACUUGGCUCCCUUAAACUUAAAUCAGGUCAGGCAAGGUUUCUCUUCCAAGGACAUUUUAAUUUACACAUUAUUUUCAAUAAUUCUUUUCAAAGAUUUCAGCGUGUUGAGGAGGCGAUUUCCCACUCUGAAGCAGAAGGACAAGAGGAAGAGCCAUCCAAGGCAGUGACAGCAAAUGAGUGGCAACAGUACUGGCAACUCAGAUUGAGAGACGCUGCCAAGAGUGGCGGAUUGAAAAGGCUAUGCCAAGAGCACAGAAUCAAUCAGGUAAGCCUCACUGACCUCCCGCCAUUUUUGCAUCUGGUAUGAUUUGGCCAAACGAUUUCAAUCUCAUCUGACUUCAGUCCCCCCCUACCUUCAUCCAUACAACUUUUCCCCCAGCCACAGAAU
rnacentral:lncRNA from 1 species